AUUGAACGCUGGCGGCAUGCCUUACACAUGCAAGUCGAACGGUAGCACGGGGCAACCUGGUGGCGAGUGGCGAACGGGUGAGUAAUGCAUCGGAACGUGCCAUUGAGUGGGGGAUAACGUAGCGAAAGUUGCGCUAAUGCCGCAUAUUCUGUGAGCAGGAAAGCAGGGGACCGCAAGGCCUUGCGCUCUUUGAGCGGCCGAUGUCAGAUUAGCUAGUUGGUGAGGUAACGGCUUACCAAGGCGACGAUCUGUAGCGGGUCUGAGAGGAUGAUCCGCCACACUGGAACUGAGACACGGUCCAGACUCCUACGGGAGGCAGCAGUGGGGAAUUUUGGACAAUGGGCGCAAGCCUGAUCCAGCCAUGCCGCGUGAGUGAAGAAGGCCUC
rnacentral:rRNA from 1 species